GCAAACUUGGUCAUUUAGAGGAAGUAAAAGUCGUAACAAGGUUUCCGUAGGUGAACCUGCGGAAGGAUCAUUAUCGAACCGUCAAACACGGGUUGUUGCUGGCUCCCAAACGGGGCAUGUGCACGCUCUGUUUACACAUCCACUCACACCUGUGCACCCUCUGCAGUUCUGUGGUUUGGGAGACCCGUCUUCCUUCCGUAGCUCUGUGUCUUUACACACACGCUGUAGUGAUGUCUUAGGAAUGUUUUUUCGCGUUUAACGCAAUACAAUACAACUUUCAGCAACGGAUCUCUUGGCUCUCGCAUCGAUGAAGAACGCAGC
rnacentral:misc_RNA from 1 species